GGUCCCAUGGCCAGGGUGCCGCCUUCGGACCUGAGGUCGCGCUCUGGGGGACCGAGUCGCUGAGUGAAUCCG
rnacentral:tRNA from 1 species